GACGAACGCUGGCGGCGUGCUUAACACAUGCAAGUCGAACGGAAAGGCCCUGCUUUUGUGGGGUGCUCGAGUGGCGAACGGGUGAGUAACACGUGAGUAACCUGCCCUUGACUUUGGGAUAACUUCAGGAAACUGGGGCUAAUACCGGAUAGGAGCUCCUGCUGCAUGGUGGGGGUUGGAAAGUUUCGGCGGUUGGGGAUGGACUUGCGGCUUAUCAGCUUGUGGGUGGGGUAGUGGCUUACCAAGGCUUUGACGGGUAGCCGGCCUGAGAGGGUGACCGGCCACAUUGGGACUGAGAUACGGCCCAGACGCCUACGGGAGGCAGCAGUGGGGAAUAUUGCACGAUGGGCGGAAGCCGUAUGCAGCAACGCCGGGUGCGGGAUGACGGCCUUCGGGUUGUAAACCGCUUUCGCCUGUGACGAAGCGUGAGUGACGGUAAUGGGUAAAGAAGCACCGGCUAACUACGUG
rnacentral:rRNA from 1 species